CGAGUAACGCUGGCGGCGUGCUCUAACACAUGCAAGUCGAACGAACCUUCGGGUUAGCGGCGGACGGGUGAGUAACGCGUAUCUGCCCUCAGGAGGGGGACAACAGUUGGAAACGACUGCUAAUACCCCAUAUGCCGCGAGGUGAAAUGAAUUUCGCCUGACGAUGAGCUCGCGUCUGAUUAGCUAGUUGGUGUAGGUAAUGGCUCACCAAGGCAUCGAUCAGAUACCUGGUCUGAGAGGAUGAUCAGCCACACUGGGACUGACACACGCGCCCAGACUCCUACGGGACGCAGCAGUGGGGAAUUUUCCGCAAUGGGCGAAAGCCUGACGGACCAAACGCCGACGCUGAGGGAUGAAGUGCCUCUGGGCUGUAAAACCUCUUUUAUCAAGGAAGAAAGAUUCUCGACGGUACCUUGAAUGACUAAGCCCACGGGCUUAUUCCCGGU
rnacentral:rRNA from 1 species